UACAUUAGUAAUGUCUGUCAACUCCAUGAUAUUUUCUGUCAAACAUGGUGUUUCCUCCAAAACAUAUUGGGAUACAAAUCUGGCAUUAAUCAGACAUAUAACAAUUGUAGACAUGUAAAGGAUGCUGUGUCCUGGAGAUGGUACUUCUGCAGUUGUUUUCAUCAGGGCUGUCAAUAUAAUUUUAAGUUGCAUAACAAAUUGGAACGUAAAUGUUAAUAAUUUAUUAUACUUCUUUGCAGCAACCACCACAACAACUCCACCAAGUAAGAACUUGCCACUGACAACAAAAUGUUAACUUUAUAUCAACUUUGGUCGUUCUAUAAAAUAUCUUUAUAUUAUGACUAUUAGCCUAGUAGAAACCUGUCAAUACUUUUUUCCUGUGUUUAUUGGUACUUCCCCUUUCUCAAUAUUUACUGAGAUACAAAUCUAGCCUUAACACCAAAAAUAUUUGUGUCCUGGAGAUGGCACUUCUCCAAUUGUCCAUUCAAAUCUCCAAUUGAAUAAUGCUGUCAAUAUCAUUUUAAGCUGAAGGACAAAUUGGAAGUCAUAUGGUAAUAACUUACUAAACUUGUUUUUUCAGCAACCACCACAACAACUCCACCAACAACCACCACAACAACUCCACCAACAACAACAACUUCUGUGACAACAACUCCUCCAACCACUUCACAUACCACAGUGUGUUCCUGUUUUUACAAUGGAACCGUAUAUACACCAG